rnacentral:rRNA from 1 species
GACGUAGGGCGCGAGCGUUGUCCGGAUUUAUUGGGCGUAAAGAGCUCGUAGGCGGCUUGUCGCGUCGUCUGUGAAAUCCCGCGGCUCAACCGCGGGUCUGCAGUCGAUACGGGCAGGCUAGAGUUCGGUAGGGGAGACUGGAAUUCCUGGUGUAGCGGUGAAAUGCGCAGAUAUCAGGAGGAACACCGGUGGCGAAGGCGGGGUCUCUGGGCCGAUACUGACGCUGGAGGUGCGAAAGCGUGGGGAGCAAACAGG